CAAAAAAAAUCAUCUUGUGCAGUUCAAUUUGGAGAUGAUGUGUUAAGUUUGGUGGUGGAACCUGAUGUUGAUCAUUCAUUAGUAAUGGCUCUUGUGACUGUUUAUGGCUUGAUACAACAAAGAUCAAUUGGAAAUAUCAGUUAUUUUUUAACAAGGACAUGCUACUUUGUUCAGUGAUUGUGGAUUCAACCUAGUUUGAUUCUAAUAUUUUCUAUUUCUUCAUGUUGUUCUUGGUUCUGCAAUUAAGGUAUUGUGUCAAGAGUUCGACUUAUUUAUACUGGAUGUAAGCUAUAUACUUAAUUCUACAGUAGCUGGUCUACGUCUAGAACCAAUGCAUUAGUAAGAAUAAGAUGAUGUCACUGUGAGAUGGAAGAAUAUGUAUGGUAUUAUCCAACUGCAUCGUCUCUGAUUUACCUUUUCAUUGUAGCUUCUUUUGGAUAUGCACAUAUAGACAUAGAGGGAAAUUCGAAAGGCUGAGCAAGAUGAUAUUUGUUGUCAUUAUUUUGUAAACCAGCUUAUGGCUGUUUUGAAUUCUAAAAUAUUUGAUUGCUCAUUGUGAUCAUCGCAAAUAUACAUUUCUAUAAGUUGUUGUGCUUCUGCUAAAAAUGAGAUUGCAUUUCUUGGUGUAUUUGUACUAUAGAAAAGACAUAUUAUAUGGUAUUGAAACAAAAAAAUCCUAUAUAGACUGGAAUGGAUAUAGAGCAUUCAUAUCAUUGACCCUCAUUAGUUUGGUAUUGAGUCAUUUUUGAGUGACUAAUUAAUUAUCUUUUCUAGAAUGUAGAAAUAGCUUGCUGCUUUGUAGUUGCUUUAAAGAAUUUACUUUAUCCAAUUUCAGAUGUCGAGUUGUCAAAUAACAGACAGAAGAGAAUUCUUUUGUCUUGCCUCCCUUUUUUCUUUAGGUUUGUUGGUGCUUUUGCCAUGCUCAAUCUGUUUUAUUCGGCCACAACUUACGACUUGCAUCUGCUUUGUUGUGCCUGAUAGGUGGUAGUGCUGCGCAGGCAGUAGCAGAUGUUACCAUUGAUGCAUGUGUCACAGAGAACAGUAUAAGCCAUCCUUCUCUUGCCAGUGACAUGCAAAGCUUGUGUGGAGUGAGUUCUUCAAUCGGGCAACUGAUUGGGUACACUAUCAGUGGAUUUUUGGUUCAUCUAAUUGCAUCUAAGGGAGUACCAUAUGGAAAGAGGUUAAGAGAUGCACGAGAAGAUUCUAGGUGGUAUCUGCUUAUGCCUUUUAUAUUACUAGAAGCUCCAUUGUCAGGAUUCGAAGGUGAACAUGGAGUUUGUGGAGGGUUCCCAUAAAACUCUAAAUGGAUGAGCUGCUUAAAUAAGAUGUCUGGUGGACCCUGGUUUUAUGGCAUGUUUUUUUGUCUCCUUAAUUCACAUUGCUUAAGAAACGGCGGAUUUGCUACAGGACUUGCAUUUGGAUUCCGAGAAUAAGUCCCUUCAAGCUCGUGACUCAUCAAAGCAGGUUUCAUCUGUUCAAUAUGCACCUGUUGAACCUAGCACCAUGGCGAAUGGAAUGAACAAGCCAUUUGAGAGACCAACAAGCCCCUUCAAUCAGGAUUUCACAGGGCCAAGCAUGUUUUACAGCCCAAACGAAUACACA